rnacentral:tRNA from 1 species
CAGAAAAUAGUUUAAAUAAAAUACUAGUUUUGGGGACUAGAGAUGAGGGGCCUCCUUUUUUUUGA